rnacentral:lncRNA from 1 species
UAAAGACUCUUUCUCAGCUACAGCUCGAAGAUAUUGAGUACGCUUGGCCUUUAGUUCAGCAUUCUUGGCCAGCAUAGAAAGGACCUCGGAGUGAAUGACUUUCAACGUCGCUUUAAAGUCGGCAGAAAGAUUGAGCGACGGAAGCGUCAGUGCUUGCUCUAACUUCGCACUCAAGUGCUCAAGUUCAUCCUUGUGUCUGGCAGCACUAGCCCUUCCAAUGUCCAUAUCCAUGAAGGAUACGUACUCAAAUACCAACUCCUUCAAGAACUUCAAAUCAUCCUCUGAAGAAGCGGCAGGAC